AGUGAACGCUGGCGGUAGGCCUAACACAUGCAAGUCGAACGGCAGCACAGUAAGAGCUUGCUCUUACGGGUGGCGAGUGGCGGACGGGUGAGGAAUACAUCGGAAUCUACUUUUUCGUGGGGGAUAACGUAGGGAAACUUACGCUAAUACCGCAUACGACCUACGGGUGAAAGCAGGGGAUCUUCGGACCUUGCGCGAUUGAAUGAGCCGAUGUCGGAUUAGCUAGUUGGCGGGGUAAAGGCCCACCAAGGCGACGAUCCGUAGCUGGUCUGAGAGGAUGAUCAGCCACACUGGAACUGAGCCACGGUCAAGACUCCGACGGGAGGCGGCAGUGGGGAAUAUUGGACAAUGGGCGCAAGCUUGACCCAGCAAUCCCGGGUGGGGGAAGAAGCCCUUCGGUUUGUAAACCCUUUUUGUGGGGAAAGAAAAGCAGCAGUUUAAUACCCCGCUGUUCUGACGUUCCCAAAAAAAAAAGCCCCGGCUAACUUCGUG
rnacentral:rRNA from 1 species